rnacentral:rRNA from 1 species
GACAGAGGGUGCAAACGUUGUUCGGAAUUACUGGGCGUAAAGCGCGUGUAGGCGGCUUGGCAAGUCGGGUGUGAAAGCCCCGGGCUCAACCUGGGAAGUGCACUCGAAACUGCUUGGCUUGAGUACUGGAGAGGGGAAGCGGAAUUCUCGGUGUAGCGGUGGAAUGCGUAGAGAUCGGGAAGAACAUCUGUGGCGAAGGCGGCCAGCUGGGCUGUUGCUGACGCUGAUGCGCGACAGCGUGGGGAGCAAACAGG